GACGAACGCUGGCGGCGUGCUUAACACAUGCAAGUCGAACGAUGAACCAGGGCUUGCCCUGGGAAUUAGUGGCGAACGGGUGAGUAACACGUGGGCAACCUGCCCCAGACACCGGGAUAACCAUCCGAAAGGAUGGCUAAUACCGGAUACGACCACUUUGGGCAUCCAACGGUGGUGGAAAGGAUUCUGGUCUGGGAUGGGCCCGCGGCCUAUCAGCUUGUUGGUGGGGUAAUGGCCUACCAAGGCGACGACGGGUAGCCGGCCUGAGAGGGCGACCGGCCACACUGGGACUGAGACACGGCCCAGACUCCUACGGUGGCAGCAGUGGGGAAUAUUGCGCAAUGGGCGAAAGCCUGACGCAGCGACGCCGCGUGAGGGACGAAGGUCUUCGGAUUGUAAACCUCUUUCAGCAGGGACGAAGCGAAAGUGACUGUACCUGCAGAAGAAGCACCGGCUAACUACGUGCCAGCAGCCGCGGUAA
rnacentral:rRNA from 1 species